UUCAACCUCUUCUCUUCUUACGUAAUAUCAGACCUUUUGUGUAACGUUAAAGGAACUAGUAAUAACAAAAAAGUUUAUUUGGGUGUUGGUAGUCAUUCUCAAAACCGUAUUUCUCCUCCCAUAUUACAUUCUUCACAUUCCAUAACCAAGCGUACAUACUACCUUCUAAAGCAUUCCUAGACCUCACUUAUAGGAGUGUGUGUGAGGGGGCAGGCAGGGCAGGUAUGGGGCCAUCAAGGUAGGUGUGGGACUGUCAGGGUAGGUGUGAGACUGUCAGGGUAGGUUUGGGGCUGUCAGGGAAGGUGUGGGGCUGUCAGGGCAGGUGUGAGACUGUCAGGGCAGGUGUGAAGUCAUUAGGGUUGGUGUUUUUCGUGUUAUUUCUGGACAGGUUUUCAUUUCCUCAUUUUUACGAGGGAGGGAAAGAUAUACAAAGGAAUAGGAGUGUUUCUUUCCAGAGCUAAUCAAUUAACUUUUUAUCUACGUUAUUAUGUUGACCCACUAAGUAAUAUCAUGAAUCUGACUGGCCGGUGGAAUGUAUGUGGAUGGUGUGAGUGUAGCGUGGGUGAGGGUGUAGUUAUGGGUGAGGAUGUGGGUGUGAGGUGGGGUGGGUGGGGGCGGGGUAGCUCUGGGUGAGGAUGUGGAUGUGGGUGUGGGUGUGGGUGGAUGAGCGUGGGUGUAGGUAUGAUUUGUAUAGUAACAGUGCUUUUUCAUCUAUGUAUUUCUCUAUAACAACAAAACUCAUUCAUAAAACUCUUCAUAUUAUUCACAGGCAACAAUUCCACCCAAACAACUAACUCUCUCUAGUCUCCCCUCGCGUGCAACACCUUUACUCAUAUGACUUAUUUAUUUACAUCAUUAAAAACUCAUAAAUUAAACUCUCCAUACAGGUAACAAUGUACAGGUAACACUUCCACUCAGACAACUUACUCUCACCUGUUUAACCUCACCUCUCAUCAUUAAGGAUUCAUACAUUAAACUCUCCAUACAGGUAACAAUGUACAGGUAACACUUCCACUCAGACAACUUACUCUCACCUGUUUAACCUCACCUCUCAUCAUUAAGGACUCAUAGAUUAAACUCUCCAUACAGGUAACAAUGUACAGGUAACACUUCCACUCACAACUUACUCUCACCUGUUUAACCUCACCUCUCAUCAUUAAGGACUCAUACAUUAAACUCUCCAUACAGGUAACAAUGUACAGGUAACACUUCCACUCACAACUUACUCUCACCUGUUUAACCUCACCUCUCGUCAUUAAGGACUCAUAAAUUAAACUCUUCAUACAGGUAACAAUGUACAGGUAACACUUCCACUCAGACAACUUAAUCUCACCUGUCUUAUCUCACCUCUCACACCUUUACUCACCUGAUUUCUUUAUUUACAUCAUUACCAUCUCAUAAAUUAUACUCUUCUUACAAUAUACAGUUCACAGUUCUACUCAGACACCUU